AUUGAACGCUGGCGGCAGGCCUAACACAUGCAAGUCGAGCGGUAGAGAGGUGCUUGCAUCUCUUGAGAGCGGCGGACGGGUGAGUAAUGCCUAGGAAUCUGCCUAGUGGUGGGGGGAUAACGUUCGGAAACGGACGCUAAUACCGCAUACGUCCUACGGGAGAAAGCGGGGGAUCUUCGGACCUCGCGCCAUUAGAUGAGCCUAGGUCGGAUUAGCUAGUUGGUGAGGUAAUGGCUCACCAAGGCGACGAUCCGUAACUGGUCUGAGAGGAUGAUCAGUCACACUGGAACUGAGACACGGUCCAGACUCCUACGGGAGGCAGCAGUGGGGAAUAUUGGACAAUGGGCGAAAGACCUGAUCCAGCCAUGCCGCGUGUGUGAAGAAGGUCUUUCGGAUUGUAAAGCACUUUAAGUUGGGUAGGAAGGGCAGUAAGUUAAUACCUUG
rnacentral:rRNA from 1 species